rnacentral:miRNA from 1 species
UGGGCUAGAGAGGGGAAGGAUGUGAUUUGAACAGAUAGUUCUCAUUCUCCUCUGUCCAG